rnacentral:misc_RNA from 1 species
GUUUUAAGCUUGUCUACAACUUGCAUAAUGGAAAAUAACUUUCGUCUGGACAAUCAUAAAGUGAAAGUAUGGGUUAGUUGCUAUGGGUUGGAUGAUUUUAUGAUUCCUUAAGCUUGAGUAGCACUGAAUCAUAUAAUUACUUAUGACUUGGUUUUUACCUGUUAUAAGCAGAGAACCAUGUUUUAUAAUCAAACUUAAUUGAUUGCGUUUGUAUCCUUGAUAGAAUUUGCUGAUUCAUGAAGGUGAUGUUUAUGAAAAUGCUGAAGUUGCAUGAGGCUAAUAUAACUUAAUAUUCACUCUUUAUCAUCUCCCUAGAGUUUUUUAUUGUUGUUUUGCUGUGUCUUUGACCAAUAGACCUGUUAAUUUCAUCAGUUAAUUUGAAACUGGUGGAAGAGCCAUAUUAGUACCAUUGGCUUCCAAGCCUGGCUUUGCUGCAGGGACUGUUCCCAUUAAAUCUCAACACUGCCACUGACAUAAACUUAUUAGUCUGAGUUUUCCUCUAAGUAGAUAUUUUGUUUCUCUAUUAACAUAAGUAUAAAAGUGG